UCAUACUUUUCCACAGCUUUC
rnacentral:siRNA from 1 species